GUGUUCACUUAAGUAGCACAUAUGCUGAAAAUAGCAUGGUACAGAGAGGAUUAACGUGGCCAUGCACAAGGAUGACAUGUAAAUUCCUGAAGUGUUACAUAUUUUU
rnacentral:snRNA from 1 species